AGCAGCCGCGGUAAUUCCAGCUCCAAUAGCGUAUAUUAAAGUUGUUGCAGUUAAAAAGCUCGUAGUUGAAUUUCGGGAUUGACGUGACGGUCAUGCCUUAAGGGGUAUGAACUGUUACAGUUGAUUUCUCACCUUCUGGAGAAACUUGAUGUCAUUUAUUUGGUGUCGUGGGGAAUCAGGACUGUUACUUUGAAAAAAUUAGAGUGUUUAAAGCAGGCUCACGCUUGAAUACAUUAGCAUGGAAUAAUGAAAUAGGACGUUUGAUUCUAUUUUGUUGGUUUCUAGGAUCGACGUAAUGAUUAAUAGGGAUAGUUGGGGGCAUUAGUAUUCAAUUGUCAGAGGUGAAAUUCUUGGAUUUAUUGAAGACUAACUACUGCGAAAGCAUUUGCCAAGGAUGUUUUCAUUAAUCAAGAACGAAAGUUAGGGGAUCGAAGACGAUCAGAUACCGUCGUAGUCUUAACCAUAAACUAUGCCGACUAGGGAUCGGAUGAUGUUAAUUUUUUAAUGACUCAUUCGGCGCCUUACG
rnacentral:rRNA from 1 species